UGAGGAAUAUUGGACAAUGGGCGCAAGCCUGAUCCAGCCAUGCCGCGUGUGUGAAGAAGGUCUUAGGAUCGUAAAGCACUUUCAGCGAGGAGGAAGGGAGUUGUGUUAAUAGCACAGCUUCUUGACGUUACUCGCAGAAGAAGCACCGGCUAACUCUGUGCCAGCAGCCGCGGUAAUACAGAGGGUGCAAGCGUUAAUCGGAAUUACUGGGCGUAAAGCGCACGUAGGCGGUUUUUAAGUCAGAUGUGAAAGCCCCGGGCUCAACCUGGGAAUUGCAUUUGAAACUGGAAAACUAGAGUGUGUGAGAGGGGGGUAGAAUUCCAAGUGUAGCGGUGAAAUGCGUAGAGAUUUGGAGGAAUACCGAGUGGACGAAGGC
rnacentral:rRNA from 1 species